CGGGGGGGGGUGGCGGGGGGAGGGGGGCGGCCUCUCCAGAACCCAGCGGCUAAUUGCGCUAUUACUGGGAAAUCAUUUCCCCCAAUCUGGGCAAGCAGCAAAUUUGACUUUAAUGAGUGACAAUUAAGGGCGCAGGGAGCUAGAGAGGCGCCUCCGACGCGCGAGUGGCGCUAGGCUCAGGGACGUUGGGGGCGCCCCUGGCUUUCUCUGUGCGGCUUUCCGGCCUGUUCUAGCCGGGCUCGGGUGGUGAGCGCUCCCUCCCGCAGCAGCGACUCCCGGGCUCUCCCGGGAGAAGGUAACUGGGGACCCCCCGAGGGAAAAGCCAGUAAGGAUUCCUUUAAAGAUCCCGGAGUGCCCCACACCCUGCCUCCGGGUGCUGAGCUCACUGCUGCAGGCGCAAGGGGUUGGAGGCUGUGGGCCCAGAAUCGGGGUUUUGAGGGCGAGAUGAGUUUAUGUUUUAUCCAACUGGCCCACAAAGUCCCGCUUUUGGGGUCAUUCAGAACAGCGAGCGAUUCCGGCCCCAGAGGGUAAGGGCGUGGAGGCCAGGCUGCACGGACCAGAGGGAAACCGGCUACUUUGCGAGGGGCAGGACGACACAGGCUUUGGGUGGGACGGAUAUUCUGCGUGUGCGUUCUGUUUGCUGAACCUGCUGUGAUUUGUGGAAGGCCUCUAUGGGAGGCCAGAAAGAUGAAAGGCGAAAGCGCAGAGUGCGUCCCCUUCCAGGGGACGGGAUCCAAAGCCCAGGAACUGCUUCCUGAGCUGUGUCCAGCUGCUUACAGGCCCCCAAAUAAAACACGGACGGCAACCAUGAAGGUAGCGAGAGGACAUUUCUCUCUGCGUUUCUCCAAGGACCAGCCUAGCAACCGACUGCCCGCUACCACUUCCACCUGCAGUAUUUCUUUCCAAUUUUCUGAGCGUUUUAUGAGAAAGUCUGCAUGAUACAUCCCGGGGAGGCCUCCCCGGCAGAGAUGGGGAGGGUACAGUUCCCUCCACUGCGUGCAUUCACACAUCCUGUCCCAAGCCUCCAGCUGAGCCUGGGUUUGGUUUAGACACCCUAAGUUAUUUGCAAACUUGUGCCUAAAUUGAGGGGGCAGAGGUCACAGCAGGGAACAGAAAAGUGAGCUGUAGCUGCUGUAAGAUUGUGUGAUUUGAUAGACACAGCGCGUGUCCACACAGGUGACAUUUGUGCUGCCUUGGCAUAAGGGGUUUACCUCCAGAGUUCCUUCUCUUUCCUACGGGACACGAUGAAACAGCACAAUCGCUGGGCGCUCUACCCCUCACGGGGCUCAGCUCGCAGAGGGGAAACUGCCACAUUGUGAAUUGUGUUUGGGCUUUGCUGAGUCGCCACCGGAGCCGACUGUCAAAUCCCAUUUGCUUGGCUAAAUAAGGAUAUCUCACCAAAUCAGCCUUUCAUGCUACCUCUACAACUGGGGUGUUUGACAUGAGUUAACGAGGCUGAACACCGGGCGUGGCACCGAGGCCCUGGACUGUAGGACCCGGAGCUGGGUGUUCAGAUGGUUUAAUUGGGAAUGGUGCAGAACCAGACAGAAUCCCAUGCUAACCGCGAGACAAUCUGUGCUUUUCUUCGCCACGGCAGAGGCACGGCUUACAGUCGGCCCUCAUGAAUGCAUUUAGCAAACUUUUCCCGCCGUGGCCCCCGGAAACAGGCUAGGCAGUACGGGGAAGAGAUUAUAAAUCAGUGCUUUACAGGGAGACGUCUCCGUGAAUUCAGCAAAGAGUCACGGCUUCAUUCCCUACUUGCCACCCCCCUCCACCGCUAAAAUGACCCGUGGGGCUGCUGAACGCACGGAACACAUUUCAGCUUUUCUCCUUCUGCCUCUCGGCGUGAAAUUUCAUUAAGCAGUUGCUAGCCCCACCCCUUGGCCCCCACUCCCCAAAGUGGUGUAGAUUUAGAAAAAAAUACAGAGCAACUUUGAAUUAAGCUCCUAGCGGUUCAUGAGCCACAGGUGUGUGUGGGGGGAGCGGUGAUAGAAUAUUGUGAGAGAAAAGAAUAUGGACUAGCCGGGAAUACAAUACUGAAAAUAUGAAAAUAUUUGCUUAAAAUAAAGCACGCGUAUAUGACUGGAACCAAUGACAGCUGGACGAAUCCCUACAAGAAACGCCCUGUGUUUUUAGCUCCCGCCCUCCCCUCCACGCCCCAGCCACCUAAUAUUAAGAACAGAAAAAAAGACUGUGGCCAGAUCAACCGGGAACUCCUAAUAGCCCAUCAGCUCGCCGCCUUUACUCUGGAUUGUGCCGUAAAUACAGCUAUUUUAGGCAUGAGGAUAAAAUUUAGUCUGGUGAAAAGUUAAGGCAAACUCGGCAGAGACAGGUCACCGGGAGAAAAUAAGUACACACACACACACUCACACACACUUACACACACACACACACACACUCACACACCCCGUGGCUCAGGGCUGUUUGGCACUGAAAAUACACCCCCACAAGCAUGAUGUCUACAACCCCAAGACUGCACUCAGACCGUUCAGGGAAAGAGGUGUGGGUGCUGCAGAGGGGGGAACCCUGUGUGAGGCUGAGCCCACGAUUCUCUCUCUCUCUCUCUUUCUCUCUCUCUCUCUCUCUCUCAGCAGCAGCCAGGAUGCCGUAACCCCUAACCCCCUCGCCGGGGCACGUGUGGAUAUCCACACAGCGUCAAGUGCACCGUCUUUAUAGAAAACAUCCGAGUUUAGCGAAUCCCAGAGGACACUUUUUGUCUGAACGCCUGCACCGCUACAGGGAAGGGACACCCCAGGAAAUGAGAAGAGGGGGCCAGGGGCGGCCACUGUAGGCUCUUCCUGGGGGUUUGGCCUAGGCAGGGAGGAGACGCAAUGGCUGGCCGGGCAGUGCAGUGUGGAAGUUUUCUCAGGGCCGUGCAGAAAAUGAGGCUGUCUUGCUGGCAUCGUGCGUGCGCUCAGUGCCCUGGGCAGUUGGCAUCUGUGCCCGUCACAGCCUGGAUCACUGCCAGCGAGGCUCAGCCGUGGCCUCGCAGCCGCCACAGAGACUCACAGCCGCCCCAGACAGGUGCAUGGGGGCUCUCCUCCUAGGGCUCCCCAGGGUGUCUGCAGGUCUGCAGUGACCACGUGGGCUCUGGAGGGAGAACCUCACAUCUCCCAAAGCGGUGAGGCUGUCCCCCAGGCUCAGAGCAAAUCCUCCCUGCACAAGCACAAACAUGACUCCAGAAGCUUCCACCACAGAGCUGCAAUUGGUCAGUCUUGCUGGAGCUGAGCCUGCCAUGCGGGGCUGCAGGGCCCAGCUACUGUGCUGAGCCACGUGGGGCCGCAGCUACGGGGCGGGGGAGGGGGGUCUUUCUCAUCAGGCUGGGAGGAAACCUCGGGCCAUGAGGACAGGCUCUGCAGGGUGGGCCAGGUGGUCAGAUAAGGAAGCCACCACCUCUGAGGGUCCACGACAGGCAAGAACCUGGUGGGCCUUAAACCUACAGGGAGGAAGUUUGCAGCCUGCCAUGCGCUGGCACCAGAAAGCGCCUGCUCUGGGGAGCUGGGCCCAGCCCUGAGUCAGCCAAACCCCUGGGACUCCCAGUUGGCGCCAGGAACUGGACCGCAGGCCGCCCGUGGGCUCUUGGUUGUAUCUCCGAAUGCCAUUAAAGUCCAGAGCAGGCCCUCGCAGGCCAGGCCGUAUUUAGCCGCAGGUUCACGGGGGGAAUAUUUCAGUGCUACGUGAAAGCAGAGGCCUGGGCCGGGUUGCAGGCUGUCACAGGGCUAGAGUAGGCUCGCUCCCUCGCAGGCCUGGCCAAGAUGGCCGGGUGCUCGCUGGUACAGAUGCCCGGAGUCCUUGCCAGGGCUUCAGGAUCACGUGACGGACAGGCGCGUGGGAGCAGGGUGUGUGCUAGGGAAAGGUUUUCGGCCUGGUUUUGUUCUGCUGGUUUUGAAGCUGCUCCCACUCCCAGGCCGCGCCUAGGCAGCCGCCAGCCCCUCUCUCUCUCUGCGAUGGCCCCGUGUGAUACCCGGCUCUCGCUGAGCUAGGAGCCCCCUUUUUAGGCAUCAGCCGCUGUGGAGGGCUUAACCCUUUCCAGCUCCUCCUCCCCACUGGGCCAGUUGCCAUGGUGGGGGGCACCUGCCUGCAGAGACCUUGAAGGGUCACCGUCCUGGGGCACACUGUGCCCCCAUUCCUUCAUCUCAGAGUGGCCCCUGGACCUCAGCAACAAUUUCCCCCAUUUUGUGCCAUCCGCGAUAACCACUGAGCUCCCCUGCCCAUCCCAGAUAAUUUCAUCUGGGUUUCCAAAUUGACAAACUCACUCACAUUCCCCCAGGAGGUUCUGAUGGAUUUGUGGCUCGCUGAGGUCGUUAACGAGGGUUUGGAAGACUCCCCCAGGGUAUGGGGGAAGAAGCCUGGCGCUAGGGAAUCACCCUGGUACUCCUUUGGGAACUAGCUCUGGGAGUCCAGACCUGCGUGGUUUGCUGGGUGCAGAGGAGGGUGGUGGAUGCCGAAGCUGCCACCUCGUGACACAUCCGGGCAAUUGUGGAGAAGAUGACGGAGCCGCCGCACCCGGGAACGCGCUCACUUGUUCCAAGUGCGCCCUAACGUUGUACCUUUUCUCCUUUUUAGUCUGGGUUCUCGGCCCUUCCUGCCAACAGGUUCGUUACCGCAGGGAAAAUGAGGGACUUUUGGGGGCAGAUGUGUUUGCAUUCCAGUAUCAUAAUGCCCCUAAAAAUCCUUAUUGCUCUUGCAGUAUUCCUCGGGGUCCCGCUGACUACAAGAAGAGAGAAACGUGUCCCCCAGCUGUCCCCAAGAGGUCCUCUGGCCCCCGGGGGAGAUCUCCCCUGACCGCCACGAGAAAUUAAGCAGAGCCACCCUGGACGCGGGCUGCAGAACCUGCCCUCUGCUCUCCAAGGGCUCAGGCCUGGGAACCAGCCAGCUUUGCUCUGGGGGUUGUGGGGGAAGAAACAGGCGCUACCUGUUUGACAGGCCAGGUCCUCCUGCAGGGCCUUUGGGAUCCUCACCUUGGCAGGGGGCCCUAGACAGUCCUGGCUAGUCCCCCAGCUCCCCGAGAUGGCACACUUGGCCGCUCUCUGCCUCAGUUUCCCCAUCUGCCAAGGGAAGGGCCACAGCCCAGGCUCUGGCCUCACAGAGCCCCCAGGAUGCUAGUGCGUCCAGGAGGCAGUGAUGGACAAGCUGGGAGGGUGCAGGCUUCACAAACAGGGCGUGAAAGCAUGCAACAUGGAGCGUGCUGACACCAGUAUUUAUCCACUGCCUAAAACGGCAGUUGGGAGGGGAGAGCGCAGCCCAGCAACAAGCCCCGGGAUCUGGAAUCAGCCAGGCCUGCAUUCCAGUGGCGCUGCAACCCUCCAGCUGUGUGACCCCAGGCCGGUGACUCAGCCUCUCUGGGCCUCCAGUUCCUCAGGAAGAGCCUUGCCAGGCUAACAUGCCUAUCUUUUAAGCGGUACCUGGCUAAGGAGGUGCAUUAUUGUAACUUGCACAGCUCAUGCCUCUGUGGUAAGUGGUUGGUUUUCCAUUCGGGGCAGGGCUAUGGGGAGGGUUCCCCCCCGACCCCGCCUUGUUUUUUAACCUCAAUUUAUGUAAGGAAAAACACAGUUGGUCUCUUGAAAGAAAAAUGCUGCACAGGUGGCCCAGGGGUGGGGCAGGAAUCAAGGUGGUCGUCGGGAAUUUUCUUAGGGGCACUUUGAGCAUUUUUUCUUUCCUUAGGGAUUUUCUAUGCCAUGGGGUGGGGGGAGGGGAGAAGAGGGAGGUUUCCCUCUAAACCCCAUGGAGGGCUCCAGCGGUUCCAAAUCUGGGUGUCACAGGUGUCCCUUGUCAGGGGGAGCCGCCCACCGUGCACUCCAACACCCCUUAGUCCCGCCCCCAGCCGCCAGUUCCUCUCAUUUUGGAAUCAGACGUCCCAGUACGCUCCGUGCCAGCCAGCCCACCUCUCCGCGGCUCAGCUGCCUCUGGAAAAUGGGGAGCCCAGUAAACCCGCUAUGCGCCAGGACGCGCAGGUUAACGGGGCUCAACGCAGAGGCCACGGUGGCUUGUGAGCGGGCGCCACGACGCCACAGCCCCGAGGGGCCUCUGCUGCACGCAGGCCGGGGUGUGCCUGGCCACACGGAUCUCACCCCCCUCACCCCCCAGGGUGUUUUCGUAGGGAAGCAGCAGCGGGUGCUCGCCCAGCCAGCAGGAACCAACUCUGGUUUCACUUUCUGCUGUGUCAUGGAGUGGGAGGGUGGCAGAGGGGCCCAGCUGGCCAGCUGCGUUGGGCACAGAGACCAGGGGACAGCUGCUCCCGGCACCCAAGCCCCGCCCCGCAGGCUGCUGCGUGGGGGCUGGGCUCGCGGGGUGCCCCUUCAUACCUCUCCACGGGCACGGCGGGGAGAACCCCCAAGAGCCACGGGACCUCGAGAUUGGACCACGCAGGCUUGGAACUGGCUCUGCCCCAGCAGGGACACCUGCACCUGCCAGCUCUACCGUGUGCAAAACAAGGUGCCAGGGGCCCGAGUCCCCGCAGGGAGCGAGGCCUAGCCCCUGCCCGCACCGUGGGUCCGCGGAGGCAGAUACAAGUGCCUGCAUGGGGAACGCAGCGUGGGUUAGGGUGAAGGCGCCACGCUGCGCGCUGUCAGUUGGCUGCCCCAGGCAGGGGUCUAGAGCGCAUGCGUAUCUCUGAAGUCCUGGCGCUGCAGACCCAGGGGCCGAGUAGCCGGUGUUUUGACUUUGGCUGCAGACGGCACCUGUGUCGCUGCCCAGUUACGUCCUUGGUCUUCCAGGUGGCAGGCCUCAGAAUAAUAGGGCGCGGCAGAGGGAUGAAAGAAGUGACUGUGAAGAGCCUGGCCUGGCCUUUGCGCUAUAUAUGUCUUAGCCCUUAUGUAAGAGUAAUGACAGCGAACCGCAUCGUCACAGCAGGCCGGCCGGGGCCGCGGAGGCCAUCCUCCGUGCCUGCUCCACCUCCCCAAGAGCUGGGCCCUGCAGGGUGACUGGGGCCAGCCCCAUGCUGGACUUCAGCCGUGGGGCCCUUGAACGGGUUCACGCUCUGCUAUUGUCAACUUGAACUUCUGAAUUUUUAUUUGAAAGGGCCAGAGUGCUCCUCCAUACAGUGGUUCGUUCCCCAGAUUCCUGCAACAGCCGGGGCUGGGCCUGUCCAGGGCCAGGGGCCUGGAACCCAAUCUGGGUCCCCUCCAUGGGUGGCAGGGACCCUGUACUUCAACCGUCACCCGCUGCCUCCCAGGGUGUGUGUGAGCGCGGGACGCUGGACUCAGAAGCAGAGAUGGAAGCUGAUCCCAAACAGCCUCUCACCCACUGCACCAAACACCCAACCCUUGAAAUUCUUAAUUUUGGACCAAGGGCCCCACCGUUUCAUGUUGCAAGUCAGGUAGGCAAUUUUGCCCUGUCUUCAUGUGCCACGAAGUCAUCACCGGUAACCACCAUCCGCAGUAUGAAUACAGCAGGCAGCUGGGUCCAGAGCAAUUUUCCAGCUCAUCAAUUCAGCCUUUUGCUGUGCAACCGAAACGCUGGGGUGAAUAUGAAGAUUCAGUACAUGGGGCCAGCAUCGUGGCUUAAGCCACCGCCUGCAGUGCUGGCAGCCCAUGUGGGUGCCAUUUCGAGUCUGAAUGCUGGCUUGUUCCACUUCUGGUCCAGCUCCCUGCUAAUGCGCCUGGGAAAGCAGCAGCAGGUGGCCCAAGUGCUUGGGCCCCUGCCACCGACGUGGGAGACCCAGAUAGAGUUCCAGGCUCCUGGCUUUGGCCUGGCCCAGUCCUGGCUGCUACAGCCAUUUGGGGAGUGAACCAGCAAUGGAAGGGCACUGUCUCUGCCUAUUCCUCUCUGCGAUCCUGCCUUUCAAAUAAAUAAGUACAUCUUUUUAAAAAAAAUUCACUACAAGGCUCAGUUGCCCCAAAUCCUGUCUUGUGCAUGGAAGGCUGCAGAACUGACAGCCGAGUUGAGACCGUGGCUCUUUUGGCACUGUGUCUGCAGGUCCUAGCAUGUAUUAGAUGCUCUGUUAACAGCUGUACAUGGAAACCAACGAAUGGGAGGUUACCGCUGCAUGGUUUCAAGACAAACCUACUAAAAUGAUGUCUUCCAGAAAAGCAGGUCAGUGGCGCUGUGCCAGUCUUGGCCACCCCAGCUUUUUUCUGGACAGCCCCCCAGGAUCUGGGAGACUCAGGUCUCUUACGACCCUCUCCCUGGGGCCCAGGCUGUGGCGCAGUAGGUUACAGCGCUCUCUACCAUGCCAGUACCUGAGCACCGGUUUGAGUCCCAGCUGCCCCAUUUGCAACCCAGCUCCCUGCCGACACACCUGGGAAAACAGCAAAGAUGGCCCAAGUUCUUGGGUCCUUGCCAAUCAUGUGGGAGACCUGCUGAAGCUCCUGGCUUUGGCCUGACCCAGCCCCGAUCAUUGUGGCCAUUUGGGAAUGAACGAGUGGAUGGAAGCUCUCUCUGUAACUCUGUCUUUUAAAUAAAUAAAUAAUUAAAAAAAAAAAAAAAAGAUCCUCUCCCUUCCCCCCAAACCUGCUGACGCCUUGUAGUAGAUUCUUGUUUGGCACGUCUGGUAGGAAGUUCAAAGGCAACACAAGUGUCUAAAGGCCUACAGGCCUGCUCUAUGAAUCUUGUUACUAAGAGGCAGAGUGAACUCCAAGAAUACUUGGGUUCUGCCUGGUUUCAAGACCCAACCAGGGGACGGGGUCAUCGUUUCAUGGGCUGUUAAAGGAGAGGACUGCAAGUCAAGAUCCUUUUUUCCUUGAAAUUAAAAUUCCUCUCCACUCUGCAGAUGCCAAGGUAUAAAUAUUACCAAGAAGCAAAGAAUCAUUCCAAAAGCCUUUAAGAUAUUUGUAACAAAAAUAAACAUUUCUGCAGUUCAGGGCCAGCUCUUUGCACAGGCACGGCCCGUUGUCACCAUGACAAGCCUGUGGAAGCAUUACUGUCCUCAUUUGCUAUGUAAUGGCAUAACCAGCUCGAGUGCUUUCCACGUGGGAAGUCAGUGCAGGCACACAAGCAGCAUGAACGCAGGUCCUGUCACCAGCCUCAGGCUUAGAGGAACUGGCUUGCUCAGGGCCACACGGGCAGCAGGUGGCUAAGCGAGGGGUUCAGCUUGCCUCUUCUAUCCCAAGAGUAAAUCUCUAAAGUUUUCCAGGCUCUCUGGUCUCUGCCUUGAAAGUAGACAAUACACGAAUGAAUGUAGGUAGCUGUGUGUUCUAAUAAAACUUUAUUUACAAGAACAAGAAAUGGGCCAAAUGUGGCCCCCAGGCCAUGGUUUGCCAGCCCCUGUUUUAGACCAGAAACCUGCCUCUCAGGUGGAACAAAGUGAACUGGCCCUGGCCUCUUGUUCUCCCAGCCCCCACCCCACCCCCCAUGAGGGAAUCAAGUUACUUUCUAGAACUGAUGGCCACUGUCUCUCCCCAGGCUGUUAGCUCUUCCUUCCUUGAGGGAGUUCUGAAGCUCUUGGAAGUUGCAAUUAGUCCUUAUUAGUCUUUGGUAACAGUUUUACAUUGUAACUUUCAUAGCUGUCAGCUAACAUUUUUUAAUUAAGAAUUUCAUAAAGAUUUAGUAUCACUUUAUUUGAAAGGCACAGAGAGAAAGCUCCUUCAUCCAUUGGUUCGUGGUCCUAGUGCCUACAUCAGCCAUGGCUGGACCAGGCUGAAGUCAGGAGCCUAGAGCUCAAUGUGGGUCUCCCACAUGGGGUGGCACGGACCCAACUGUUGAACCAUCAGGGCUGCCCCGCAGUUAUGCAUGACCAGAAAGCUGGAUCAGAAGAGUUGUCAGGGCUCAAACCUGGCAUUGUGAUAUGGGAUGUGGGAGUCCCAGGCAGCUCUUCUUUCUUUCUUUUUUAAACAAAAGAUUCUAUUUAUUUGAAGGGCAGAGAUACAGAGAGGGAGAGAAAGAGAGACAGAUCUUCCAUCUGCUGAUUCCAUCUGCAAAUGACCACAACAGCUAGGACUGGGCCAGACCAAAGCCAGGAGCUUUGUCUGGGUCUCCUGUGUGGGUGCAGGGGCCCAAGCACUUGGCCCAUCUUCUGCUGACUUCUCAGGUGCAUUCAUAGGGAGCUGGAUCAAAAGUGGAGCCUCCAGGGCCAGAGCUGUGGCACAGUAGGUUAACCCUCCACCUGUGGCACCGGCAUCCCAUGUGGGCACCAGUUCGGUCCUGGCUGCUCUUCUUCCCAUCCAGCUCUCUGCUGUGGCCUGGGAAAGCAGUAGAAGAUGGCCCAAGGCCUUGAGCCCCUGCAACCACGUGGGAGACCCGGAAGAAGCUCCUGGAUCGGCCCAGCUCUGACUGUUGCAGCCAUUUGGGGAGUGAGCCAGUGGAUGGAAGACCUCGCUCGCUGUAUCUCCCUCUCAGUGUCUGUAACUCUGCCUCUCAAAUAAAUAAUGAACAAAAUCUUGGGGAAAAAAAUGGAGCAUCCAGGACUCAAACCUGCACCCCCAUGGGAUGCCAGCAUUGCAGAUGGUGGUUAACCCACUGUGCCCACAGCCAGCGCCAGCCCUCCCACCCCACCCCCCAGCAGUGUGUGCCUAAUGCCUAUCCCUUGAGUAACUUUUAAGGAGGAAAGAAGGUUCCUGCUUUAAGGAAAUCACCUCAGUGGGGCACUCUGGCUGUGGAAGGCACUUCCAGUGUGUGAGAACAAAGGGUCUCUUAAGGCACAAGAAGAUAGCCAGAAAAGGGGUGACACGUGUGUGCACAGGGAGAGGGAGAAACGAGGGGGGUGGUUUCCCACCAGGACGGAAGCUGGGACCUGAAGCUUCCUAUGAUGAGUGGUAGGAGGAAGGUGUGCAGCUCGAGAGACAAGCCACACCGCUCGCCCAGUGAAGGCACAGCAGGGGCUUGCAGUAGAUUCACAGGGAUGUGCAACCGUCAUCCCAGCGACCCCAAGACACUUUCAGUGGUAAACCCCAGCCCGGCCCGGUGCACUCAUGCGGCUAACCCUAAACAGCCUCUACUCUGCUUUUCUUCUCUCUACAGUUGCGUAUUCCGGGUGUUUCCUAGCAAAGCAAUCACAGGCUGGGUGGGCCUUUUGCGACUGGCUCCUUCCCCGAGGCUCAGCCCUGGGGCAGCCUGUGUCUGCGCUCCAGUCCUGUUCAGGGACUCAUUCGUGCCUCGAUCAUGUUGUUUAUCCUCUUUCAGUUGACGGACACACGGGUGGUUGAUACAGUGAGUAUUCCUGCUCCAGGGUUCGUGUGGAUGUGCUUUUUCUUUUCUCUUGGGUUCCUGCUAGGAGCGGAGUUGCUGGGCCAUUAGGCAACCUCGUGUUCAACAUGUGGAGGAGCUGCCAAAGGCAGGUCUUAGAUUUCCCUUUGCCACUUUAUGUUAUGGAAGUCUAAACAUGGCGACGGUGUUACACACCCAACGCCUCGUCCAGGUUCAACAACAAUCCGUCUUUUGUCUGUCUGGCUUCCUCUACCUACUGCUCUCCCGUUGUUUCCCAUCAAGCAUUUCAAAGCCAAUGCAGGCAUUGAGAGGUGAGAAUUUUAAGUUUUAUUUGAGAAAGAAAACUCCCACCUGCCACUUUAUGCCCCAACUGCCUGGCCAGGGCUGGGCCCGGGUGAGCCAGGAGCUGGGAACUCUGGCCAGUUCCCCUGUGUGGGAGGUAGGAGCCCAAUUCCUUGAACCAUCACCUGCUGCCUCCCCAGAGCGCAUAUUAGCAGGGAGCCGGGAUCAGGCACAGAGCUGGGACUCAGACCCAGGCACUCUGCUGUGGGCCCUGGUGUCCCGAGCAGGGUCUUAACCGCUAGUAGUGCCCUCCCCUAAGACGCAACACUUUCUAUUGUUCCAACCUUCAGGCAGAGUUUCAACAUUCACAUCUCCUUGUGUGGGUAGAAUGGGGUGAAUGAGGGACUGGACAGACUCUGAAGUGAGCCAGCGAGGGGCGGGGAAACAAAUAGCCCCAGCAUGAGUCAGGAAGGGGCUACGUAAUUCGCAGGAUCCAGGGGAAAGCCAAACCGUAGAACUCCGUGUUCAAAAAUUAAGACUUUCAGGGAAAGGCAUUUGGCAUCACUGGGCCUAGCAGUUAGAUACAGUGUCCCACAUCAGAGGACCUGGGUUCAAUUCCCAGCUCCAGCUCCCGACUCCAGCUUCCUGCUAAUGCAGACCCUGGGAGGCAGCAGAUGGAGUGCCUGGUUCCUGCCUUUGGCCCCAGUCCAGCUCUGCUGUUGUAAGCAUUUGAUUUCAUCUCAAAUGAAGAUGAAAAAUCAAAAUUAAGACAUUCAAGAGGGGCCGGCGCUGUGGUGCAGUGGGUUAACACCCUGGCCUGAAGCGCCGGCAUCUCAUAUGGGCGCUGGUUCAAGACCCGGCUGCUCCACUUCCCAUCCAGCUCUCUGCUAUGGCCUGGGAAAAGCAGUAGAAGAUGGCCCAAGUGCUUGGGCCCCUGCACCUGCGUGGGAGACCCAGAAGAAGCUCCUGGCUUCUGGCUUCAGAUUGGUGCAGUUCUGGCCGUUGCAGCCAAUUGAGGAGUGAACCAUUGGAUGAAAGAUCUCUCUCUCUCUCUCUCUCUCUCUCUCUCUUUCUAUGCCUCUCCUUUCUCUGUGUAACUUUCACUUUCAAGUUAAAAUAAAUAAAUCUUAAAAAAAAAAAAAAAGACAUUCAAGAUGGCGACAGCAGAGCCUGGUCAAGUGUGGUCCUGCAUGAGGGCACAGGUUCCCUGUGCUUGAGGCCAGCCCCGCCUUGAGGGCAGCCAAAGGGUCCCCCAAGCAGAACUGAUUCUGCGGAUUUGGGAAUCCAGAACCUGCCAGUCCUGGGAGAGACACAAGCACCAUCUACCCCUAAUCCCUGGAAAACUCCCAUGGCACGUGGAACAAGAUGCAAGCUCAUUUCAUCUGGAUCUCCAAAAAUAAGAGGACCCCAGCUGACACGUGGGUUAUAAGCACAUUUAAAAAAAAAAAUUGUCUUAAGCCUUCUUCCCUAAGAGCCACAGUUGUUUUAUGUGGCCGUAUCAUUUUGUCCUGGUUUCUGAGUAUACUCGGAUACCCCAGCAGAUGACAGGGCUGCAGCCUUAAGAACAGAGGCCCCCCGGGACCAGGGACGCCCCACAGUAGCAGGUGGCCAUGGUCCACAUUGGCAUCCUCUGUGACCCCAGAGCCCGCUCGGCCCAGAGAGAACUCCAGCGCAACAAGCCUGGUUUCCCGUGCUUAUCCAAACCCUCAGCCCCGUUACUCAAGAUCUUCACUAAGACACUCAGCCAUUCAGAGCCCCCAGUGUGCUGGGAUGACACCCACAGGUGCACUUAAGCUAACAGAGGCUUCUCAUGCAAGGGGCCCGGCCUGGGAAAGGUGGGGUGAGGGAGGAGGGACGGACUCAGUGAGAACUUCGCAGUCCUCUGGGUCUCCUCAUGAGAUUAUGUUGGUCGCUAUCCCAUAAUUCCUUUCUCCUGGGAUUCUGCACCUGCUACAUCAAGUGCCCAGGCCUGGCCGGGAUCUCACACAACAAUCAAGACGCCACGCCUACACUGAGGGGGCACGACAAAAUGCAGUCUGAAAGCUGGACAUUUGAAAUUUGGUCACAAUAACGGAACAACCGGAAAAGUAACUACAACCAUCAGUCUCAGUAGAUCCGCUGGUGGCCAUGUGGUUUAUGGACAGCCCGAGUGGCACGGGAAAGCAGUGUCCAGCUCAGGAUGCACGGGUUCUCAGCAGAAGGAAUGUAGCAGCGGCACACACAGCAGAAGGCUCUGGAGGUGGUGGUCGGCUCUUUUUUCAUUUUUCUGCCAGCCUCCUCUCCCCUAUUCCGGUAACAGAUCUGCCACCCCCAGGGAAUACAGCAAAAGAUGGCUGCCCACGGUACUCCUCCCUCAGCUACAGUCAAUGGGCCAGGCCUGGACACGUGAUUCAACGUCACCAAUCACAGGAGCGCACGCCUGAGCUGAGCGUUAUGAUUGGUGCCGCUGUGGUCACGUGACCAGGGCAGGGCACACAGACUCCCGCCUGCCAGCUGACUUCUGCUGAAUCCUGCCCUGUGCUUGUGCUGGGCUUGCAAGUCCUGCUCUCUCUGCAGGCCUCCAUCGCCCCAGCCUCAUCCGCAGCCCAGGCCCUCCUCCCCUCCAGGGAUGGAGCUGUCCCCCGCCCAGGCCUAGCCUGUCCUGGCCUCGCUCUGGCCCCUGUGACUUGCCCGCCAUGAGUGGAGGCACCCAGCUCGGAGACCCAGGCUUCCUCAUCCCUGCGCCUCCAGUCCUGGGCACGCAGCAGCCCGCGAGGGAGAGAGACGGAGGGAGGGUGGAGGGGAAACAAGCUAGCUGGUUCCUCUUUGCUCUCAUCCCGAGGGCCGCUCAGGCCCUGCACUUGUUUUCUCUGCUGGCUUCUCACGCUCGCCUCCUUGUCUCUGCUCCCUGCUCAGUGAACAGCUCACCCCAGCCCCUGCCUCGAGCCCCCCACCCCCACCCCCGUCCCUGUUCCCGGCUCUCCUAGCCUCUCCUGCACUCAGCUCCAGGUGGGCAGGCAGCUUUGGUUCUCUGCGCCUCUCGGCACCUGGGCCUGUCGCCUCGUAUGUGCUCAGUUAAUAUCUGUGCAUUGACUUCUUUGUGUUCACCAGGGCACACAGGCCUGCCUGCUGGCUUGCUGUCUUUUGUUUUAAAAGAAUUCUUAAAAAAAAAUAAUUAUUUGAAAGGCAGAACCACAGAGAAAAGAGGAGACAAAGAGAGGUCUUCUCUCUGCUGGUUCCCUCCCUAAAUGGCUAGGAUGACCAGGGCUGGGCCAGGCUGAAGCCAGGAGCCAGGAACUCCAUCUAGGUCUCCCGCAUGGGUAGCAGGGCCCCAGCACUUGGGCCAUCCUCCACUGCCCUCCCAGGCACCUUAGCAGGGAGCUGGAUUGGAAUUCCAGCAGCCAGGACUGGACUGGCGCUCACGUGUUGGGAUUCUCUUGUCAUAGCCACAGCCUCCCACCUUGCUUUCUCAGGUGCCUGUGGGUUAGUAGGGUUAGGGAAGUCAGGUUGUAGGCUUCCUAGGGCCACUGAAAUGAAUCACUACAAGCCACGUGAUUUAAGCCACGGAAAUGUAUCACCUCCCAGCUGUGGAGGCCAGGAGGGCGAGGUGCGGCAGGGCUGUGCCGCCCGGGCCAUCCAGCGAAAAGCCCUCCUUCCCGCCGCCAACUUCUGCUGGCUUGGUGGCCUGCAGCCUUGGCCGCACCUUGCCAGUCUGUGCCCGUCUUCUCUCCAUGAUGUUUCUGCUUCUCUUACAAGGACACACAUCACGUUCUGUGCCCCUCUGGAUAAUCGAGAAUCAGCGCUUCCUCUCCAGAGCCUUCUUCACUUCUCAAAAACUAAUACGAAAGGCAGAGAGACAGAAAGUGGGAGAGGCCCCGCGAGGGUGGUCUUCCAUCUGCUGGCUCACUCCCCAAAUGGCCGCGACCAGAGCUAGGAGCCUGGAACUCUAUCCAGGUCUCCCACGUGGGUGCAGGGGCCCAAGGACGGGCGCCAUCUUCAGCUGCUUUUCCAGGGAGCUGGACUGGAAGUGGAGCAGCUGGGACACAAACCGGCAUCCCAGACAGAAGCUCAACCUACACUGCGCCACAACGCUGGCCCCUUUGUCCUUUCUUUGGCCACGUCAGGUAAGAGCCACUGACUGUAGAUUGUGAAGUGGACAUAUUUUUCAUCUCUCCAGGGGCCACCACAGGUUAUUUGCCUAAAGAAACCAGAAGAUUCCCCCACCACUGCACCGUCUGCAGGUGGAUCCCACAGCAUGUUCCUGUUGUGUUAUGAUCACUGCACACCCCGGGUGUGCAAGCGAUUUUUAAAAACAGCAUUUUCUGUGUUUUAGUUAUCCCAGGAUUUAAAAAGACAAUUCCACGCUGCUAGUAGGAAAGCAGCCCCCAAGGGGAAAGGGUGGACCGGAAGGGGGCUCCGCCUGGAUCUUCUCCAGGUCCAGUCGUACUGUGGGGGGAGUCACCACGACACACAGUCUGCACCAUCUUCCAGAGUGAUUCCUUUAGCGUUCCCAGUGCAUUUUUUUGUCCUGCUCAGAAGGCUGGAGACUUUGCAGUAUAUUCCAAAGACGUGACAGCUCUCAGGAGCAGCUCACUUUCAUGAACGCCUUCUGACAUCCUCCUGCACUUAACCUGCCCCUGCUGGCCAACAUUUCAGUCCACGCCAGGAUUUGGCCUUAAAAAGAUACAUACACUCUGGCACGUGGCCAGGCUCACAUGUAAGAUAAGUUCCUAGAAGUGCAAUUUCUCGGUCCGAGGAUAUGUGCUUUCUUAAUUUCUACAACCGUCGCCCAGCGCCCCUCAAAAAGGUCAACACACACACGUCCACCAGCAGAGCUUGAGGGACACCGCCAGUGGCUGCUGUGUCCUCCCACGCCAGCGAGCGGGCAGUGUGUCAGGGAACGAAGGCGCAGGCGAGGUAAGGGGACUUUUAUGUGCGAAUCUGGGCUGGGGGUGGAGGUGCUGUCCCAGGCUGUCCCUGCAGCUCUCAUCAGCCUGGGUUUGAUAGGGGAGGUAAGCCAGAACCGUACAGCAAGAAGCAUUGUGCAAGCCAGUAUUUAUUUCUUGAGUGUGGGUAGAACUUAAAUAUGGUCAAAACAUGCUCUUCUUUUAAUUUACACAAACAAAUAUGUUCCCAGGCUCACACCUCCGGUGCCAAGUUUCUAGGGGAAACGAGAUUGUCCUGUGAGAUGAGAAACCACUAGAGAGAAUAUGUGAAUGGGAAAGCCGAUGGGAGUUAGCGCUGCACGCCCAGAACCAGCUACAGAGGAGCGGCUCUGUCCCGAUGGCAGAUAAACCUGCCAGCACUUGGAGCCAACGAGACGUGGAAACAGGUCAAGGCCAGAGGACGAGAGAGCUCCAGUUGUGAGGAGAAGGCGGCCUGCUCGGCUCGGCUCGGCUCAGCUCGGCUCGGACUCCUCCCUCCCAGCGGCAAGGCGUGCCCGGCGAGGGGCUGAUGAACCCAGGGAGAAGCAGCAAGGCCACGAUAGACGGCGAGGGGAGAGAGCCUGCAGGUGUGGAUGGAUGCCGAUGGAUGCGACUGACGCGCUGACCGGCUGCAGGAGUGAGCCCCGUUUGGAUCCUGGUUGUACCAACCACGAAGGAAACAUUUAGGAGAUGCAGAGACAUUUGGAGGCGGACUAGACAUCACCAUUACUAUCACGGUGGAGAUCCGGGCAGGAAAACAAAAAAGCUCUUUUGGAAACCUGUGCUCAGAUAAUUGCGGUGAGAGGACUGGUGUCCGCAUGUGCUUCAGAACAAUGUGGGACAGGGGAGGCGAGGGGCGUCUGGCUGGGACAAGACAGCCGGGAGGGGCUGCGGCUUCACAAACUCUUCCCACGCGCACUUGAAGAUUUUCAAAGUAAAAAGAACAAAGCCCAACCUACUGCGUCCAGGGUAUCAGGCUGGACUGCCCACUGCCAGCCUCAGUAGCGGACUUGAGAUCUAUCUGUGGGCAUCCUACCUGCAUCUCCAUGGCAACUGGGGGCGGGAAGGCAGCCUUGAGAAGUCUCCCAUCCACCCACACGAGGGGCAGGCCAGGAGAGUGAGGCUCCUCAUGGGGUCCCCUCUCCCUCGCAGAACUGCCUCCUGCACCCCUUCCCCACCUCAUGUACCUCUCACCCUCCCUGUGCAGCUUCCGAGAAAGGAGAGGUCUAUUGGUGGAGUGAACAGGGCACUGAGUCAGAUUCAAGUUCAAAUUCAAGUUUAUAAAGACUUACUUAUUUGAAAGGCAGAGUUACAGAGUGAGAAAGAGAGAACUUUCAUUACCUGGUUCACUCUUCAAAUGGCCACAAUGGCCAUGGCUGGGCCAGGCUGAAGCCAGGAGCUUCUUCCUGGUCUCCCACGUGGGUAGCAGGGACCCCCGCACUCCGGCUAUCCCCCGCAGCUUUCCCAGGCACACCAGCAGGGAGCUGGCUCAGAAGUGGAACAGCUGGGACUCCAUCUAGCACCCAGGAGAUGGUCACAGGCAGAGGCUCCACCGGAUGUGCUACAACGUGAACCCCCAAAUUGUGGCCAUUUCAGGGCAGGCCCUUUGAUCUCGCUUAGUCUCUAUUUUCAUUUGUAAAAUGGGUAUAAUGGGAUCUCAUCUUUUAUGGAGGGACUGUGGCCAAAAAAAGACCUAGCCUGCAACUGGUGAGACUCAGCUCUCAACGGAGCUCAAGUGCCGUUAUGGCAGACGUGAUACGGGGCACUUUAUCACACCCUGGAUCUCGAGAACACGGGCAGUCCCUACUGAAGAUGACCAUGCCCUCAACCAGACGUUCCAUUAACCAGAAUUCUCACUCUCCAACUACUCAGUAUCUCACGACGGCAGACAGAACCACCCCACGUCCAUAGGGCUCCGCUUUCCUGACGCGCAUUCUGUCUCCCAUCCACGGACAAAGGAGGGCUUCCUUGGCCAGACCACACUCUUGGUCCAUGGCCCCUGUCUUCUAUGCCCAGCCCUCUGUGCACUGAUAGAGCUUUAAAAUGCAGCAGGGGCCGGUGUUGAGGUGCAGAGGGUUAAGCUGCUGUCAGUUAUACUGGCAUCCUAUGUGAGUGCUGGUUCGAGUCCCCGGCUGCUCCACUUGCAAUCCAGCUUCCUGCUAAUGUGCCUGGGAAAGCAGCAGAAGAUGGCCCAAGUGCAUGGGCCCUGGCUGGAGCUCCAGUUCAGACCCCUGGCUUCGGUCUGGCCCAGCCCUGGCAGUUGUAGCCCUUUGGGGAGGGAAUCAGGGGAUGGAAGAUUUCUCUGUCCCCCUCCCUCCUUCUCUAACUCUAACUGCCUUUCAAAAAAUUUUUUUUGAAAACUUGUUUAAAAAUGCAGCAUCAGGGGCUGGCACUGUGGUACAGUGGGUAAAGCCACCGCGUGCAGUGCCAGCAUCCCAUAUGGGUGCCAGUUCCAGUCCCAGCUGCUCCACUUCCGAUCCAGCUCUCUGCUGUGGCCUGGGAAAGCAGUAGAAGAUGGCCCAAGUGCUAGGACUCCUGCACCCACGUGGGAGACCUGGAAGAAGCUACUGGCUCCUGGCUUCAGACCGGCACAGCUCCAGCUGUUGUGGCCAUCUGAGGAGUGAACCAGUGGGUAGAAGACCUCUCUCUCUCUCUCUCCCCCUCCGUCUGCCUCUCUGUAACUCUGCCCUUCAAAUAAAUAAAUAAAUCUUUAAAAGAAAAGGCAGCAGCAGCAGAUCAGUGCUGUCAGGAGACUGCAAGGCCCUCCAGGUCAUUUUACAAAUGCAGAAACAGUGGCCCAGAGGGGCCAAGUAACUUGUCCAAGGCCACACAGCAAACUAGCAGCUGAGCCUGUUUCUGUUUCAGGGUUGCUUGGAGGGGAGGGUACAGGGAUGCUGCAGGCAGUGGUGGAGCCAAUUCUUACUGCCCCGUUUCAUCCUGUGCCAGAGUACGGAGCCCAAUCAUCCAGAUUUGGCUGGGGCUGAGGAGUUUCUUGGGACCAGGGACUUAUGUGCUAAAACCAGCAAUGUCCUAAGCCGAGCAGGAUGUGUGGGCCAUUCCCAUAGACAGUGAGGCAUGGAAGUAGAUGUUCUCCAGGAAAUGAGGCUCUGUGCUGGGGCUGGCUGGGGUUCCACACUGCUGGUCCCCUGGAGGAGAGCCACGCGUCAUCUCAUGCCUUCCGACGGGGCCCACCGGCUCGCAGCCUCGCACCCUUCCCAUCCGUUCCGUCCCCAGCAGCUGGGCUGCUCUCUCUCAGCUGUAAACCUGACCGCCAGCGCCUCGCCUCCAUCUACAGCCUAAGUGGCUUCUCAUCUUGUGAAUUGCUUUAGGACCAACUGGAACUCCGCAGCCCCACCCUGGAUGGGCGGGCACUGACCCUCCUGGCCCCGCCUCCCUCUGCACCCCAGUCCGCCCCAGGAAACUCCAAGCAGAGCCAGGGUAAGGGAAGACCUAGCUACACUCUCGGGCUCCCCGCCUUCCCUUCUCCCAGGUCGCGCCCCUUCCAGAGGGUCAGCGCCACUCUCUGUGGCUCACUUAUUGCUAAUUUCUGGUCUGCCCCAGAGCAGGCUGGACUGUCAGCCCAGGGGAGCUGUGACGGCCACCCAGGACUGAAACAGUCCCUGAAGGGCCCCACCGACAGCCCGGUCACCUCCCGCCGGGCCCAUGUGAAAUCUAGGAAGUGCUUCCUGCCACCAGGACCUGCAGAUCCCCUCUGACAGCCUGGGCGCGGAUGUGUUGGGAGGAUCCCAGCAGAAGGCGCGAAGACAGGUUCCUGACAAGACCUAGUUUGUCCAUGCUGUGUGCUGCUCCUCCUCCCGGAGGGCAGGCGUCCCCACCCUGACCAGGAAACGCACGCGGAACACACGCCCGGCCCGCCGUGGCCGCAGAGGUGAUAAUAAACACGCAGCCUGAUUACUCUGCUGCUAAGCCCCUC